ensembl:lncRNA
AGGCAACUCAGGCCAGUUGAGAUACAUCCAUUGUUCUCCUGUAAGGCUGGCCCUCGCACAUUGUCAAUUCUAUCUUGACCCAAAGCCACUGGCCAGUAAAGUCCAGUCGGAUACCGUGGUAAAACACCAGUGUUGAAUUUUUAUUGUUUUUCCAUCAUACAGUGGAACCACACGUCUACAGGUAUGCUACUGAGAACCAAGGAACACUAGACUGCAGAACGACACGAGUCACGUAUGAUGUCACAACACUAUGUGUACUAGUGUAGUGGAAGUCCAGAGGGUCAUUUCUCAAAGCUGGUGGAAGAGUUGGACAGGUAAAAUUACCCUAACAUCCUACAGUAAACACUAGUGUAAGCUUUGAAGUCUGAAGAAUUUUGAUAGAAACAACAGAUGAUGGUAAUAUGACUCAUUAAUUCUGGACUGAAUCAUUUAUACCCAUUAUGUUAACCUGCAACCACCAUUGAUUGUACCACAUGUAUCGUUUGAUUGUACUGAUUGCAAUAUAUGCAAACAUGUAUUGCACAUUGUUUACACCACUAUUGUCAUAUACAACAAGGAUAACUUUCCGCAAGUUCCCUGGUUUUCCAGAAAUCCCGGUUGGGAAAUUCUUGUAUUUCCUUCCCUCCUAAUUCCAGGAAUCUUCCAACCGGGAUUGGCUGAAAAACCUGGGAGUUUUGGGAAAAGUACAGAAUUUCACAACCCUAUAUUAGAGCAGUACUAUAUAAACACUGCUCAUCCCCAUGUUCCAGAGACAAAAUAACACACUCACAAAGGCACAACAAAGAGAACCGGCAAAGAAGCGAGAAAAUUAAAGGAACAAAUGAAGAGAAUAAUUUCGGGAAUAAAAAAACACCCAGAAAACACAUUGCGAAUGUGGAAGCUGCAGUGGGCAUAUUUGCAUUCCAAGCUUCCAAGCGGGAGUAAACAGCGAUUUUUGGACCGUGACGUGUUAAGCACAUUGGCUGCUGGCGAAAACAUUGCCAACCAGCUUUGUGAAAUACCCCCUUCAGUCCUAGGAAACAGGGAUCGUUUUAACCCUUCACCAGCUAGCUGAACACCCAUAUUUCAGUUUCAGAUAACACACAUAUUUCACAUUCAACUAAGUUUCAACAACCAAGUCCGCUAUUUCAUCAUAGUUCAAGGUUCAGCUACACAAGAUAGCUGUAUGAAUAUUCCAAAAUAUUCCCCAUAUAGCUAUGCGGUUUUGGCACCGGCGGGAAUGAAACGUUCUAUUGAUAUCUAACACUGUUUGCUUGUGAAUUAGUCAAAGCGGAUAAAGCACAGGGAGCUGUACAUGUGUUGCUGCUACAGCCCGGGGCAGUACAGACAACGGAAUAUAAAACAGAGCGGAAGGCUCGGUCGGUCGACAGUGACAGAGAGCCAUAGGAAAGUGGAGAACAGAGGCGUGGGAGGAUGGCAGCAGGAAGGAAGGGAUGAGAUUGGGCUUUUCUCCGUCAGGAAGAAGGGAUGGAGGGAAAAAGAGGUUUUGCCAUGGCUGGAUACCUGGUUUCCUGAUGUUCAUUUUCACAGUCAAAGAUAAAUAGAAGAACGCGGUGGGCCACGGCGGGCACACCCUCCGGCGGUGUUGACGUUCCCCGUCGCAUCCCGUAGAAAAGCCUCAGAGGUUCACCACGGGGAUCCUGACGGAGAGAGAGCGAGAGAGAGAGAGAGAGGGGGGGGGGGGGCAGAGGAAAAGGGUUAAGGGACAGGAGAAGGGUAGAACUGUAUAAGGGGUUAAGGGACAGGAGAAGGGUAGAACUGGAAAAGGGGUUAAGGGACAGGAGAAGGGUAGAACUGGAAAAAGGGUUAAGGGACAGGAGAAGGGUAGAACUGGAAAAGGGGUUAAGGGACAGGAGAAGGGUAGAACUGGAAAAAGGGUUAAGGGACAGGAGAAGGUUAGAACUGUAUAAAGGGUUAAGGGACAGGAGAAGGGUAGAACUGGAAAAAGGGUUAAGGGACAGGAGAAGGGUAGAACUGUAUAAAGGGUUAAGGGACAGGAGAAGGGUAGAACUGGAAAAGGGAGGAGGAGAGGGAAAAGAGCACUUCUAGAAUUAGAACAUAAUACGUUAUUAGUAUUAUAUAACACUAGAGUAGGGAGAAUUUGGAGUAGGUGAAAGAAAACUAGUGUAGGGGAAAGAAAGAGAGAAAAGUGGAACUGGAGCGGGAGUGGGGGGUAGAAAGGACAAGAAGGAGAGGAGAAACGAGGAGAACUGGAGUAGAGUCCAAUUAUCCUGAUUGAAAUUAACUUUAAAUCCCCGGCUAUAAAAACAUCAUUUCAUGGGUUGUGCGCUCACUGCUUCCAGAGCUGUGUGACUCAUAGGAGAGGAAGUUUUGAAACACACAUACAUCUCACAUCCAUAACACUUCAGGCCUGUGUACUCCACAGAGACUAACACUGACGCCUAAUUAUGCACAUAUACCAUUAUGAUGCUCAUACACCACACGGGGAGAGGGAGCAAGCACUCCUUGACACAUCAUCCACUCACUGACAAACACACACACACAUGCAUCCACACAUAUAUCCAUGCAGACAUUUGCAGACAUAAAUUGAUUCAGACACAAAAGCGCGCACACACACACACACACAAAUCAAUGUACUAAGAACUCCACACAAAUACACACAAACACUCUCCCUCUCUCUCCAGUGAGCUGGUGAGGCGACUCAUUACCUCUCCCUGUCGGUAAAGGAGGGGGUGCCGUGCAGCGUCUGCCGGCUGUCCUCCAGAGCCAGGGAACGAGGGAGGGCGAGAGAGAGGGGGGGGGCCACGCCACGGGAAAGCGGGGGCGGGUGCUGGGAACAGCUGCGGUCGUAACUGGCAGAGAGAGAGAGAGAGACGGAGUAAAAGAGAGAGACGGAGAGCGAGACUGAGUGAGAGGAAAAGAGGGAAUGACAUGGGCAUUUAACAGUGGAGAACACAUUACAACGCCUCAGAGAGAGUUAAUGCACUCAUUUGACUCAUUAAAGCGCUGUCAGACGAGAGGGAGAAGAGGAGAGAGGUUGCAAGAAAGGGAGGGAGAGAAAGAGUGCGGUGGUCGAGGUUGAAAUAGCGGGUAGAGAGAGAGAAAGGAAGAGGUUGAAGAGGUGAAGGAAACAGAGGAUGUGAGAGAGGUAAAGAGAAAGGGGAAGGGAG